CCCCAAGUUAAGGUAAAGCCAAAUCUCCUCACACUUUUUCAAACACCCACAUCCCACCAUCCGACAGACUUGCUCAGGCCCUACCACCUUGCACUCCCAAAACCAAAAUAAAAAAAAAAGCUUCGGACCCUCCUUCACUUCCACAGCUUGCUUAUUCAUUCGCUCUCUCUCGCAGCACAGCCCGCAAUAUCCAUCGCUAGCGCUCUUGGACCAGGAGUUUUCAUGAACCCUCGCCGCAAGCUUUCGAACCUUUGUAUGUUUUAGUUCGCGCCCGAGUGUCGGUCGACCCACGUCACUUUUUCCCCCUGUUUUUCGGAGACCCUCUCCGCCGUCUCCACCCACUUCCCUUGUUGGGGUGCUGGGGACCGGGAGUCCUCCGGAAGGCCCACAGGGGGAAAAAAUGGGCGAUCGGUUCACAAAGGCGCUGCGGCUGAAAUUUACACAGCGGAGAAACACAUUAUUAUAGCAGCAGCCAAAGCUUGUUACUGAAAUGAAAGAAUUCUAAAAAACAGUUUUUUGAAUGCCCUCAAGUCACAAAAGAGAAUUUGAUUUCCUCGUGAGGGAUGAUUAUCGGACCGUUCUUGUCUGGACUGGCUUCGUUGCGUUGCAUGUUUGGUGUGUGGUGUUUCGCUUGAUUCGUCUUGAUGAUUCCCCUUCGACCCGACGGGCUGGAUCAACAUGCUGCUGGUUUUGCUGGUGUUCGAUUAUUAUGGAAUAUAUCUGCGGCCUACUACUGCUGGAUGGAUGAAGUGAAGUGGAACAAAAUCGCAGGAACCA